UACGUAGGGUGCAAGCGUUGUCCGGAAUUAUUGGGCGUAAAGAGCUCGUAGGCGGUUUGUCGCGUCUGCUGUGAAAACGCGAGGCUCAACCUCGCGCCUGCAGUGGGUACGGGCAGACUAGAGUGCGGUAGGGGAGAUUGGAAUUCCUGGUGUAGCGGUGGAAUGCGCAGAUAUCAGGAGGAACACCGAUGGCGAAGGCAGAUCUCUGGGCCGUAACUGACGCUGAGGAGCGACAGCGUGGGGAGCAAACAGG
rnacentral:rRNA from 1 species